GAUGAAGAACGGAGCGAAAUGCGAUAAGUAAUGUGAAUUGCAGAAUUCAGUGAAUCAUCGAAUCUUUGAACGCACAUUGCGCCCGCCAGUAUUCUGGCGGGCAUGCCUGUUCGAGCGUCAUUUCAACCAUCAAGCCCCAGGCUUGUGUUGGAGCCCUGCGGCUGCCGCAGCCUCCCAAAACCAGUGGCGGGCUCGCUAUCACACCGAGUGCAGUAGUUUACUCUUCGCUCAGGGCGUGUGGCGGGUGCUAGCCGUAAAACCCCCAACUUCUCAAGGUUGACCUCGGAUCAGGUAGGAAUACCCGCUGAACUUAAGCAUAUCAAUAAGCGGAGGA
rnacentral:misc_RNA from 1 species